UGACCUUGUGAAGAUUUUUCUUCUUCAGCGCCCUCUGGUGCGAUUCUCUGAAAUUUUCGAACGUUUAUAAGUAAGGAACCAGUUUAGGUAACAGACCAGUCUUGCACUCAACCGGGUUGAGUACAGAUCUUAACUGGUAGCAUUCCUUCGGAGAUCAAAUUCUUCCAGACCAAGGAACAUUCAUUUCUUCUUCAAGAAAUGAUAUUUCUGUUCUAGUU